UCCUUCUUAGCUCAGCUGGUUAGAGCAUCUGACUGUUAAUCAGAGGGUCGCUGGUUCGAGCCCAGCAGAGGGAG
rfam:Sphingobacterium antarcticus 4BY contig062, whole genome shotgun sequence.